CAGAUUAAAUCUUUAUAGUUAAGAAUUUCAUUUACACUGAAAAUGGUUUCCGUGCAAUUCGGUAUAAUCUGA
rnacentral:tRNA from 1 species